GAACGGACGAGAAGCUUGCUUCUCUGAUGUUAGCGGCGGACGGGUGAGUAACACGUGGAUAACCUACCUAUAAGACUGGGAUAACUUCGGGAAACCGGAGCUAAUACCGGAUAAUAUUUUGAACCGCAUGGUUCAAAAGUGAAAGACGGUCUUGCUGUCACUUAUAGAUGGAUCCGCGCUGCAUUAGCUAGUUGGUAAGGUAACGGCUUACCAAGGCAACGAUGCAUAGCCGACCUGAGAGGGUGAUCGGCCACACUGGAACUGAGACACGGUCCAGACUCCUACGGGAGGCAGCAGUAGGGAAUCUUCCGCAAUGGGCGAAAGCCUGACGGAGCAACGCCGCGUGAGUGAUGAAGGUCUUCGGAUCGUAAAACUCUGUUAUUAGGGAAGAACAUAUGUGUAAGUAACUGUGCACAUCUUGACGGUACCUAAUCAGAAAGCCACGGCUAACUACGUGCCAGCAGCCGCGGUAAUACGUAGGUGGCAAGCGUUAUCCGGAAUUAUUGGGCGUAAAGCGCGCGUAGGCGGUUUUUUAAGUCUGAUGUGAAAGCCCACGGCUCAACCGUGGAGGGUCAUUGGAAACUGGAAAACUUGAGUGCAGAAGAGGAAAGUGGAAUUCCAUGUGUAGCGGUGAAAUGCGCAGAGAUAUGGAGGAACACCAGUGGCGAAGGCGACUUUCUGGUCUGUAACUGACGCUGAUGUGCGAAAGCGUGGGGAUCAAACAGGAUUAG
rnacentral:rRNA from 1 species